GGAUGUGAGAGUGAUCUGGCUGCGACAUCCGUCACACCGUUGAUCACCAGGGUUGAUUUGGCUGAUCUGGCUGGCUAAGUAGGUGUCCCUUUCCUCCCUCACCCUUCCAUGCGCGUCCCUCUGAAGCUGCGCUAUUGGUAGAAGUGGAAGGCCUUCCUGGAAUAGAGACAGACUGGUCUUCGGUUGAGGGUAUAGGAGCAGCUGCGCUCUCCUGCUAGAAACUACAAACAAGCUAAAAUGUCCAAACACAAGUAUUAACAUAUUCUGUGACUUAAAAAAAAAACGAGUUUCUGU
rnacentral:snRNA from 1 species